CACCCAUUCUGGACAAGGUGGGACAGACACCAGGAGUAAGAGGUCCACCUCAAGCUGGCUGGGCUGUAGGCCCUGCAGGGCUCUGACAGAGCAGUCAAGAUGAUGUGGUUACAUUGAUGCCUUGUAAAGCAGCACUACAGAAGAAAUAGCCUGUGGAAGCAAUGCCAGCCACAUAGGUGAGAAAAUGGAGGCAGGAAGAUGUCUGUCUUAGUCCAUUUGUGCUGCUGUGACACAAUACCACAGACUGGGUAAUUGACAAAGAACAAAGAUUUACUCUCACAGUUCUGGAGGAGGAGAAGUCCAAGAUUAAGGUGCCGGCAUCUGUGAGGAUGCUGCGCUCCUGCCCUGCGGAGGAUGCAGCAGAUAAGCACCAUCUUGGAGGAAGAGAAUGGCUGUACCAGACCAAACCUGCUGGUACCUUGACCUCAGACUUCCCAGCCUCCAGAACAAUAUAUCCUGAAAUUCUCUUCUGCAAUGAGUGUCACAAACCUACUAAAUUGGCUGAACUGAGGUCUGUUUGGGGAAAGACCUUGGGACCGCAUGUGGUGGCAUCCUUUGUGAGCCACCAGGAGGUAAACUGAGGAACUGAUUUUGAAACAACACUAUAAAUAGCCAGGAAGAGCGCUUAAGAAAGUGUCAGCAUUGCCUCCGAUUGUCAAGUUCUCUGCAUACAGAUGCCAAGUAUCUCCUCCUAAAAGAAAGGACGAUUCUGCAGGUGGCCAGCAGGCUGGGCUGAACAUUCUUUCUGAGUUGAGCUGAGCUGAGGCUCCAAUCACUGCCUUAGCCCUGGAACUUGACUUAAAUGAUGACAAAAAGAGACAACGUGAGACGACCCACUAAAUGAGUCAUCCUUGCUCAACUGUGCACUUUCAUUAUCCUCGG
rnacentral:lncRNA from 1 species